rnacentral:rRNA from 1 species
GCGGCCUAUCAGCUUGUUGGUGGGGUAAUGGCCUACCAAGGCAACGACGGGUAGCUGGUCUGAGAGGAUGAUCAGCCACACUGGGACUGAGACACGGCCCAGACUCCUACGGGAGGCAGCAGUGGGGAAUCUUGCGCAAUGGGCGAAAGCCUGACGCAGCAACGCCGCGUGCGGGAUGAAGGCCUUCGGGUUGUAAACCGCUUUCAGCAGGAACGAAAAUGACGGUACCUGCAGAAGAAGCACCGGCUAACUAUGUGCCAGCAGCCGCGGUAAUACAUAGGGUGCAAGCGUUGUCCGGAAUUAUUGGGCGUAAAGAGCUCGUAGGUCGUUUGUCGCGUCGAUUGUGAAAAUCUGAGGCUCAACCUCAGACCUGCAGUCGAUACGGGCAAACUAGAGUGUGGUAGGGGAGACUGGAAUUCCU